CAUGUAGGCGGAUUAAUAAGUUUGAAGUGAAAUCCUAUAGCUUAACUAUAGAACUGCUUUGAAAACUGUUAAUCUAGAAUGUGGGAGAGGUAGAUGGAAUUUCUGGUGUAGGGUAAAAUCCGUAGAGAUCAGAAGGAAUACCGAUUGCGAAGGCAAUCUACUGGAACAUUAUUGACGCUGAGAUGCGAAAGCGUGGGGAGCAAACA
rnacentral:rRNA from 1 species